GAAGGUGAAGAGGCCCUCGCCUGUUUCGCACAUCCUGAAAGGAGCAGACGCAAGAUGUGGACACUCCGCUAGCUAGGGAGGAGCAUCAUGGGAAAGCAAGAGAUGCCGAUGGUGCUGUUAAACGCCACUGCAUCCCUUCCCCUGUAACUGUGCCACAAGAAUUGAAUUCCGGACGUGAAUUUAGCCAACCUGCCGGCCUCGAUGGAAAACCACGUCUGUCCCUGGCCAUAACGACGGAGGCCCGUUAGAGGCCAAGACACUAUCUUGAGGGCACUGAGCAAACGGGUAACGCUGUGCUCAACUGCAAGAGACGAGCAAGCCAAGGGACGAGCUAAGCAGAGACCUUCCGCGUAUACUCUUGUGUCAGGAAGAAGCAAAGCAAGAAGCAGGUGUUACAGGUAUAAAAUCAGGAACCCUUUCAACAUGCUUCACAUUAUUCAGCU